CACCUUUUAGCUCGAGUGUGAUCAGAUCCAAGGGAUCCAAUCCAAUGGUUCGAUGGCUGUUCGGAACGAAACAAUUUCAUAUAAUUUUUACAGAAACUUCACUGAAAAGAUAGUUUAAAUUUCAUAGACUUUGGGAGAGAUUCUCGUGUUUUAAACUACUCAAUAUCGAAUGAGCAGUACAGUAACUGCCUAGUCCUGCCUCGUCGUCACGUCACUGCAAUCGUGACUCGUGAGAUACCAUAAACGAGAUCGAUGGGGCCUUUUCUACUGUAGCCACACUGAUGGUGGUCAAAAGAGGAGCUCGAGAGCCAUACCGCCACACGCGCACAUUGCAUCAUUGCCAAUCAGCAAAAGCGACCUGCAGAUGGACGGCAAUGCUUCGUCAUGGGAGCCACGAUGCGCGACAGCUGAAAAACAAAAGCGAAGCGAUUAUCCUCCACUAGCUUCCUCAACGUGUCAUUGCACACUCAUUUUCUUUUGCUAAAGAAGGAUCAACAUUAAAUGUUCCUCCAAAAGGAAUAAUACAUGUUAGUGUUCUGCUCCCUCCGUCCUGAAAUAUAAGGCUCACUUGAGCUUUAUAUUUGAGCAGAUAAUUAGUUCCGCUAGCACAUUUCGCGUGAAAAGAACGCCCUGGGGAGGGGAUAAGGAAAGCCACGUGAGACCGGCAGAGAUUUUUCAUGAGAUAAAAGGAUGGAUACGACCGUCACGGGAGAAAAAUAACGAGUAAUUAAAUUAGAUUCCUUUAAUACUUGUCCAAAACUGCUACGAUGCCUUAUAUUUAGAUACAAAAUUUAAUUUUUUGGUGCCUUAUAUUUUAGGAUGGAGGGAAUAUUUUCUAAGUACAUGCAUCAACCAGAACUGACAUUCACCGUAUGCAACUUGAAAUGAGGGAAUUAUUGGCUUUAAAUGAACUUAUCAUAAAUGAGAGUUUUUUCCUACACAAAUAGAUGAUUUGUUUGACUAAGUACAUUCUUUUUUUGCUUUCGCUUUCUUGCCGUAAAGGUUGGUUUGUUUUCCUACAUAUAAUUAACAUUGUGUGAGAAGCAAAACUUUAAUAAUCAUCAUGUAUUUCCAUACCGUUGCUCUUUAUAAAACCUAUUUUUCAAUGUAAUGCUUUUCUUUCCCUCUUCACUUCAAAAGCUGGAACCACUUUCACUAAAAAAACUGGAACCACAAAUUUCAAUUAUCUAGAAGACUAUGGCUCUAAUUAAACUGCUCUAACAACCUCAAUACCAUCAUCAGCCGUCAAAAUCUUGCCUUUAAUCCAAUACACGAAACAACACAAGCGGUCAAUGAGAUAUUUAACCCUUCUGCGAUUCUGAAGUGCCCUUAUUUAAUACCCUUUUCCCACUUCCUUCAUUCUAGCUUGCUGACACCAGAGAGAGAAAAGCGGCACUACUAGCAUACAAAAAGAGUGGAACAAGAAAGGAGACCCUUUUUUUUUUUAUUUCUUUUGCCAUAUAACAAGCUGGUCUGUUUCUUGGAGCCUGCAGAGAAAUGGUGCAGCGGUGAAGGGAGGCACGAAGGGGGAGGGUUAGGAGGAGAAAGAGGAGAGGAGCUGCAGAAGCCGCAGCCCGCUGCAGACAUGGUUGGGGCGGCCAUUGGAGUGGUGGUGCUGUUCUUGGCUGCAGCGCCAUUUGGGGCUAAUGCCAACACCGACUCAAACGAUGGUGAGUUCGUUCAGCUCCAUUUAGUGGGUUUUCGCUCCAAGCAUAUCUCGCUUCCGCACACCAAGAAACGAUGCAUUUCUUCGUGGUUUAGUUUGGUUUGCGCAGCCAUAAAGGGAUGCGAGAGGUGUGUUCUUGUCUGUCCCCCCUCGUUCUGGUCAGUUCAUUGCGAUUGCAGAAGUAUGAGUUCUGAAGUUUCGGUUUGGUAUAUAUGGCUGGUUUCUGAAGUUUCGAUUCAGAUACAGUUUUGUCCAGAACUCUAUUGGAAUUUUUCUUGUUGUAUCAGUUAAGUUGACCAAGGAGAUGCUAUUCUAUCAGUUUGCUGCAAGCGAACAUCUUAGUUUCUUUUAUUAAAAGAAGAUAUUGAAGACCAGUAAAGUAUGAACCAAACAUAAUGGUACCUGAAACAUUAAUCCUCCAAUGUUACUGACUGGUCCCCAAAUCUUGUUCUUGCCUGUGCAGUAAACGCCCUCAAUGUCUUCUACACAACCAUGAAUUCGCCACCCCAGCUGACGAACUGGGUGUCCCAAAAUGGGGAUCCCUGCGGACAGUCUUGGCUUGGGGUCACCUGCUCGGGUUCCAGAGUGACAACAAUGUGAGCAAAGCUGAAACCUUCAGAAGGGCUGUGUUUCUGCAUCGCAGCAGCUUAUCCUUCUUAUCUGAUUUUUCUUUCUCCUGAAUACUCGGCAGAAAGCUACCUGGAAUGCGGCUUAACGGGACCUUGGGAUACAACAUGAAUCAAAUGACUGCACUAAUUCAGCUGUUAGUGAGAUCCUUCAUGCUCUCGAAUAUCCGUGUACUGAUGUCUACACUGACAUCUGAUUAUGUGGGUAUUGAUCUAACUCAAUUUUCUGCAGUGAUAUGAGCAACAACAAUCUUGGAGGCAGUGACAUCCCUUACAAUCUUCCUCCAAAUAUGGAGAUCUUGUGAGUCAUGCCUCGCCUAGCUCAUCCUUCUGAUUUAUGUAAAAAAUCAUUUGUCUUAUGACCUUGAUAUGCAGAAAUCUUGCCAGCAAUAACUUCACUGGGACUGUACCUUACUCCAUCUCUCAGAUGGUUGCACUUAAGAAUCUGUACGUUGCCUUCUGAGUUUUGUACAUGCUGUUUUGCUCCAGCCCUUUGAUGCGAUUUGACCAAAUUAUAUUUCUUUCUCUAUUUUGAUUAGAAAUCUUGGUCACAAUCAGCUCUCAAACAUCAAUGAUAUGUUUAAUCAGCUCACAAACUUAACAGCAAUGUGAGUGAUUUCCCUUCCUCUCUGACUGCAUAUGCUUGUUUGUUACCAUUGUUCCACAAAACUAGUGGUGAACCUGAACAGAUUUUCAAUUUCCCAGGGAUUUGUCAUACAACAACUUUUCCGGUAAUAUUCCACAAAGCUUCAACUCAUUGAAAAGUUUGAAAGCACUGUGAGUAUUCAUUUUCCAUAUAUUCUGUUUAACUUCAUUUCAUCAGUGAGAAAAGAUCACAUGAUUUCUUACAAAUCCAUUUCUUCUCUUGUCAGUUAUCUUCAGAACAACAAAUUUAGUGGCACAGUAGAUGUCCUCGCCGAUCUUCCUCUUACUGACUUGUAAGUAGAAAUGUUUACCACCUACUCUUCUUACAAGUUGAAUUUCUUAAUGCAACAUUUACCAAUCCUUGCAGAAAUAUUGAAAACAACCAAUUCACCGGUUGGGUACCUGAUAAACUAAAGGGAAUCAAUAAUCUCCAGUAAGUAUUGCAACUGUCGCGGUGAUUGCAAUUGUUGGCAUAUGGGAUGGAUUUGAUAAUUUAGUCCUCCUAUUACAGGACAAGUGGAAACUCGUUUAAUGAUGGUCCUGCUCCGCCACCGCCACCAUCACCACCAUCAUCAUAUACACCUCCACCUUCUUGGAGACCUCCUGUUCCAAGUACUGAUGGUAACAAUAUCCCAGCUGAAGAUGGUGGCAAAGGCAAACACUCUAAACUGGGAGGCGGUGCAGUAGCAGGAAUUGUAAUAUGUUUGCUGGUUGUUGGUGCAUUAGUUGCAUUCCUUUUGAUCAAAAGGAAAUCAUGGAGGUUGUCACGGGGACAAGACCCUGAGCAGAAUGAACCUCUCAGCCCUCUUGCUUCUGGACUUAAACGUAAGUCUCACGGUAGUUAUAUUUUCAUCUUAUUGUUGCUGUUGUUGUAUGAAGGAAUUGCAAAGGUUCAAAAAGAAAAGGAAGGAAUUGCAAGCUCUUCUUUUCCAUGGGCAAUUGUUCAGUUUCUUCUGUAUUAUUUGUCUAUGUGGAAGAUGGCUAAAUCAUUUGCUGUACUUUCAGAGAUGAAAUCUAUUAAAUCUAUCAAGAUCAUAUCAACAAUUGGCAAGGAAGAAUUGCAGAAGACUGUUUCAAUGAGUUUGAAGCCUCCAACGAAAAUUGACCUGCACAAAUCCUUUGAUGAAACUGAUACCACUAGCAAGUCUAUUACAAGGAAAGUAAGUUUGUCUUCCGUCACAAUACCUGCAUAUACAGUGGCAGACCUGCAGGUGGCAACAGGCAGCUUCAGCCCUGACAGUCUUAUUGGUGAGGGAUCGUUUGGUCGUGUAUACCGAGCCAAAUUCAGUGAUCAGAAGGUGCUUACCUAAUUAUAAGAUAUUCUUUAUUUCACGCAUGCAGCAUCAUAUAUAUGAAUCCAGCAUCAUCCAUAUUUGGAAUGUGUUCCUUGCAAUAAACACCAUCAGUAUUACUUGUUUUUCCCUCUUUUUUAUAUUGCCAUAAAAUCUGCAAUUAAGUGGAUAUGCUAAAAUUUGAACAUGUGGAAUUUUUGGCUGUUAUAUCUUGAUCGUAUCCUUCAUUUGAGCAUGUGCAGCAGUAGCUGCAAAAAAUAAGUCUCUUUUCACUAUUUUCAGAUUAUGAUCCAUACUAUUUAGUUAUCAUCAUUUUAUGGUUGCAAAUUUCAGGUACUGGCUGUAAAGAAAAUCAUUUUUUCUGCAUUUUCAAGCCAUCCUUCAGAUUUGUUCACUGAGUUGGUGGCAAACAUUUCAAGGCUAAAUCAUCCUCACCUUGCCGAGCUAGCUGGUUACUGCUCAGAGCAUGGACAGUGCUUGCUGGCAUAUGAAUUCUACCGAAAUGGUUCUCUGCAUGACUUCCUUCAUAUGAAGGAUGAACACAGCAAACCAUUGUCUUGGAACAGCCGUGUCAAGAUUGCCCUUGGAUCUGCAAGGGCAUUGGAGUAAGUGAAGCAGGCUCUUUGUUUCAUGAAUAUCAAACAGGCCUGUCUACCUUUUUUUUUUUGGAACCGACAAGUUAUGCCAGCCAUAUGAAUUUUCAGGUACCUACAUGAAACUUGUUCACCAUCCAUGAUCCACAAGAACUUCAAGUCAUCCAACAUUUUAUUGGAUAGUGAGCUGAACCCUCACGUUUCUGAUUCUGGGUUUGCAGACCUUACUCCUAACCAUGAAUUCCAGGUAGGUCAUUAUAAUUUCCACUUGUCUGACCAACCAUUUUCUUGAAAAUUUAACACAUCUGCCAUCAAGCAUAACUUCAACUCUUGAAGCUUGCUCCUUUUCUGCAACUGAAAUGCUUUGCCCUAUUAUUGUCUUUGUGGAAGUACCUAGCGUUUUUUAAUGAAAUAUAUGAAGUGCAUAGUAUUAUUCAACACCAUAAUGCUACAUCAAGUCAUCUAGAAGUCCGAAUAGCAAGCGUGAAUUGUCAUUAGUGACAAAACCUAGUACCUCACAGCUAGCUGAAAAGUACUAUUUGAUCAACAAGCUAUAUGAUCCAAAGUCACGCUCUAUGUAUUUUUAUAUUGCGAAUUCUAAUUAGCAAAAGUCAGCGUGAAGAUUUCCUGCCCAGAAGUACUUAUAAAAGCAACAAAUUUCAGGAAUCAGAUGAGAACUCGGGAUACAGGGCACCUGAGGUGACCAUGUCUGGACAGUACUCCCUGAAGAGUGACGUGUACAGCUUCGGAGUCGUCAUGCUAGAGCUCCUGACUGGCCGGAAACCGUUUGACAGGUAAUUUAUGAUAGAUCAAUCCGCUGCAGUUCUCUCACAUCCGUUCUGAACUUCCACAAGAACAAUCUGAGACAGCUAGUUGUAGCAACACAUGUAGCCAUUCAUCUGAAUUCUGAACCAGCACUUGCUCCCUGAACUUACUGCAGGACUCGGCCGCGGCCCGAGCAGUCGCUGGUCCGGUGGGCCACUCCGCAGCUGCACGACAUUGACGCGCUGGACCAGAUGGUCGACCCCGCGCUGCAGGGCCUGUACCCGUCGAAGUCCCUCUCCCGCUUCGCCGAUGCUAUCGCCCUGUGUGUUCAGGUGAAAAUCGCCUUCAGUUCGUGCAGCUUUCACAUUGCCCUUGCCCCAGAUGUAAAACAUUUCCGACGCUGCUGAAAUGCUGCUGAUGCUUGUUCUGCUACCUCGACGCAGCCCGAGCCGGAGUUCCGGCCGCCGAUGUCGGAGGUCGUGCAGUCGCUGGUGCGGCUCGUGCAGAGGGCCAACAUGACGAGGACGCACGAGAGCCACUCGCGGCGCCACGGCGAGUCCGGCGGGGACUACGAGUUUUAAGCGAGCUAGACCGAGCUGUGAAUAAAACACAGUACGAAUUGAAAACAAAUCAAAACGUGUUCGGAGAACUUUCUUUGCCGCUCGUGUUUCAGCGGCGGCUGUGUAAAUCCCGUGAUGUUUUUGUUUCAGAACACACUUCGCCGCCUACUGCUUCGCGUUGAUCGCAGUCGAAGGAAAAAAGAGAUCGAACUGCGUCGUCCUGGUAUUGGCUGUCAUGCGGUAAUUCGGGGAGAGCUGCGCACCUGUCAUUCGCCUCUCGCCUGCGCCCGUGCCGCCUUGCCGGUGGACGGACGGGACGCCCCGGCGGCGGCAGGGAACCGCCGCGCCACGCCGCCAAGAUGCGCGCCCCGUCGUCCGCGCGUUCGUUGAGUCGCCGCGGCCCACCGCAC
rnacentral:lncRNA from 1 species